rnacentral:rRNA from 1 species
GACAGAGGUGCCAAGCGUUAGGCGGAAUCACUGGGCUUAAAGCGUGUGUAGGCGGGUGCCUAAGUACCUUGUGAAAUCCCACGGCUCAACCGUGGAACUGCUGGGUAUACUGGGUGCCUUGGGUCAUCUAGGGGCUGCCGGAACAAAUGGUGGAGCGGUGAAAUGCGUAGAUAUCAUUUGGAACGCCAACGGCGAAAGCAGGCAGCUGGGGAUGCACCGACGCUGAGACACGAGAGCCAGGGGAGCGAACGGG